AGAUUGAACGCUGGCGGCAUGCCUUACACAUGCAAGUCGAACGGCAGCACGGGAGCAAUCCUGGUGGCGAGUGGCGAACGGGUGAGUAAUACAUCGGAACGUGCCCAAUCGUGGGGGAUAACGCAGCGAAAGCUGUGCUAAUACCGCAUAAGAUCUACGGAUGAAAGCAGGGGAUCGACAAGACCUUGCGCGAAUGGAGCGGCCGAUGGCAGAUUAGGUAGUUGGU
rnacentral:rRNA from 1 species